rnacentral:rRNA from 1 species
UACGAAGGGGGCUAGCGUUGCUCGGAAUUACUGGGCGUAAAGGGCGCGUAGGCGGCUAUUUAAGUUGGGGGUGAAAUCCCGGGGCUCAACCCCGGAACUGCCUUUGAUACUGGUAGUCUCGAGUCCGGAAGAGGUGAGUGGAAUUCCGAGUGUAGAGGUGAAAUUCGUAGAUAUUCGGAGGAACACCAGUGGCGAAGGCGGCUCACUGGUCCGGUACUGACGCUGAGGUGCGAAAGCGUGGGGAGCAAACAGG